ACCCAAAUAUGUCUCAUUCAGUCCCAUAAGGAACCGAUAAAUCUUGUUUUCAUCAUCUUCCUCGAUAAUACCAUUCUUAGCAGCACAAGUGCACUUACUGUCCAUGAUUUGGGACCAUUGUCCCCAAUUCAUCCCAUAGACUGUUGAGUUUAUUAAAGUAUGAGGCUACAUCAAGGGAACCUUGGGAUGUCUGAGAGAGUUCCCGU
rnacentral:lncRNA from 1 species